CACUCCAAUAAAAACCAGCCCAAACCACGAAGUUGACACCCGUGUAAACCCGUAAAAUCAUAACACAUACAAUAGAAAACACAUCCAGAGCUUCAUAUCUGCAUCAAAUAACCACAUAUAAAUGAUAGAUAAAUAGGUUUUUGCAAAUUGCAACACAGUAGAAAAUGGAGUGCCAUUAUUGCAGAGUAAACCUAUUUUCCUCUGGAUAGAGUAGUUAUAACAAUGUACAGAGUAGUAAAAUCGUCUAAAUAGUAGUGUCAAAAGUGAGAGUUAAGUCCAACAUGCACACAAUGACCAAAUCUACUCUACAUGGUGAUGAUUCCCCGCGAAAGUAGUACUAGAACUGAACUGGAGCUCGAGCUGGCAGUGGCACGUUGGAAAUCGUCUCUCUCCCCAGUCCCCACUAGCAGACCUAUCGUGAAAAUGCUGCUGCGUGUCUCGUUUGGCGUUGUGCAGGAGUACAUGAAGCUGCCUGAACUAACAUUCAGUGAUUUCUUGAGAGAAGUGAGUCUAAAAUUUAACAUUGCUGAAGACAGACGGUUGGACAUCAAGAUUUAUGACCAGUCUAACACAGAGGUCGACUCUGAGGUUUUUGAGGAGAUCGUACAAGAGUUCCAUGGACCUUUCCUAAUUUCAUUGGCCAAUGAAGCACCUGGUUACCCUCAGUCCACGUCAUCUCCAUGCUCUAUUGCAUCUGAAGACACAGUGAUCCUCAACUUCUCGUUGUGUGACCCAGCUGAGGAGCCAGUUGCAGCCGAAGGAAGUCAACCUAAAAGGCCUUGCCGCAUUAACUAUGAAGCAAAAGCUCUGAUUGAAAAAAUCUUGACGACAAAGCCUGGAGGUGACCGUGUCAUGGAGGAGUAUGCGAAAACGAAAUCAAUUACAGAUUCAACCAGAAGACAGCUCAUCAACAUACUUACUGCAGAGAUGACGGAAACACAUGGGACAUCGCCGCCCCGGAGUGUAAAAGUGAUGUAUGCACAGGGGAUUGUCGCUCUGUUACCAUACCUUGAAGACCCAUAUUCACAGAAUGGCUAUGAACAUUACUACGAUCCUGAAAGUGGUUCAGGCUACAUUGCAUGGCGGUUGAAGACAAUUCAACGAAAAGCUGCUGAGGAAAGAGGUCCUGCAGUUAGUACAUCUCCUAAAGUUGGUGGGCCAGGCCAUGGGCGUACUAGACCCUUUACUGCCGACAGAGUCCUGACUGACGAGGAAGUGGAAUGCGCUAUCGCUUUGUUGAGACACACUGCUGAUGAGGAGACCAUCCGUGAAAAGAUGAAAGUCACUUUCGCAUACCGCCACGCCAUGGUCAAUGAUGAGAACAAAUCAGCAGAGGUCUUCUCAGUAUUUCCACGGUUCCUAGACACACCAGGACUGAUAGAACAAGAUUUUAGAGUGAUGUUUGGUGAGCAGACUGCCAACAAGUUCAUGGAGAGGUGGCCUACCACUUUCAAAGCAGGAGUCAUUAAGGAAAGCCAUGGACUGGUCCCCUCCACAGACCUUCUUGAUUUAAUGCGCAAUGCUGAGACAUCUACUGAAGUUGAAAAAGGCUGGGACAGUGACAUGUCUGCCAUCAUACUGCUGCUACAUCUGCUACCACCAUCUGCACAGGGACGAAAGUGGCCAGGGAAGAUAUCAGCAUCUAAUGCAGUUGAUCACCUCAUCAAAUUCCAAAAGACGGGAACAAGCGUGCAGCAGCAUCUUGACAACAUCGCUCAAAGCAUUCAGCCCUACCUCCUUGCUCAGGGACCCACAAAAAGCAGCAUUCACUCUUUCUUCAUUGCCAUCGACAAGCAUGCACUUCCAUGCCAAGCCACCAGCUCGGUUGGAGCCCUGGAUGAGCUCUUCAAGGCCCACUAUGUGUUUGGUACAUCUUACAGUCCUGCCUCAAACAACUUUUUCACUUUUCUGCAAACUUCCAUUUACAACAUUGACGUGGGGAAAACUAAGGAAACGCCAAGAAUUGCAGAGUUGCGAGCGAGAAUGGUGCGUUAGGCACUCUUGAAAUUAAACAAUGAGGUGCUUUCUUUGCAGCAAACAAUCUAGUAAAGCACCUCAAAGUAAUACAUGGACUCUGUACGGUAAGGACUCUUUAUGUUCAAUGUGGCCAAGUGGGAUGCUCACGUUUUUUCAAUAGUUUUUCAGAGGGGUGUUCCACGAACGGAGGUUAAACAAACACUGAGUUAACGCUGAACUCUAGGUUGAUUGACCCUGUGCCGACCAACCCAGAGUUUUCGGUUCCACAGCAGCGGUUAUGCAUUAGUUCAAUCAACUCGCGGUUGGUUAACCCAGGGUUGUGCGCGUCCACGCCAAACCUAUAAAGACGUGAUGUAUGGAUCAUGGAAUUACCGAUCAAUAUGGCGAAACGGGCCGCAUAUUUCUCAGAUCUCGACCUCCAGGUUCUCCUGGAGAGUUACGAUGAGGAAAAGGGAGUGAUAAUGAGGAAAUGCAACACUAAAGCAUCUGCCAUAAUGAGAAAUAAAGCCUGGCAGAGGAUAGCUGACCGCGUAAAUUCGUAAGUGUCAUGGUAAAAGCACUAUCCUAAAUAUUUGAACUGAAUCCAUUCAUUACCUAUCUCAGUUAAGCUUUCUUAACAUUCCAUAAUCUGUUAUCUAUAAAGAUGUAAUCCGACGGCCCCCAAACGAACUCGGGAACAAGUAAAAAUGAAAUACAAAAACGUUAUACAAGCUGCCAAUCGUAAGAGGGCCGACAGUCGGCAGACUGGAUCGGGCCCUCCAAUUACCUUCACCACGGUUGAGGAGCUGGCUCUAACCAUUAAUGCAGGGCGCCCUGGCAUGGAGGGGAUACCUGGAGGUACCUCCUCCGAGAGUCCGGGGCCAUCUCCGUCCACUGUCAACCCACUGGUUGAAUAUCAAGACGGAGUAUUGCUUUUAAUCGAGCCGGCUACGAAUCCUCCAGUUUAUGAGGCCGAUGAAAAUAUUGCCAUGGAUGGGUCUGAAAGAACUGAGACUGUGGUCGAGGAAGCGGCGGGUACAUCAGGGUCGCAAUAUCAGCAUGUAAGACAUAUCCUAGGCUACUCACUUAAUUUAUUGGCCAAGUAUGUCGCUUGAAUGUUAAAACAAUAUUUUCCUCUAUUUCAGUUGACUACUAAAGAAUUAUAUCGACUUCAUCUUCAGCGGGAAAUCGCUAAGGCUGAUUUGCAAAUGGAGUACACGAAGCUGCUGAUGGAGCAACUAAAGAAUAAAAAUGAUUGAUAAAAAC